UACGUAGGGUGCAAGCGUUAAUCGGAAUUACUGGGCGUAAAGCGUGCGCAGGCGGUUUUGUAAGUCUGACGUGAAAGCCCCGGGCUUAACCUGGGAAUUGCGUUGGAGACUGCAAGGCUUGAAUCUGGCAGAGGGGGGUAGAAUUCCACGUGUAGCAGGUGAAAUGCGUAGAGAUGAUGGAGGAACACCGAUGGCGAAGGCAGCCCCCUGGGUCAAGAUUGACGCUCAUGCACGAAAGCGUGGGGAGCAAACAGG
rnacentral:rRNA from 1 species